GACGAACGCUGGCGGCGUGCUUAACACAUGCAAGUCGAACGGAAAGGCCCUGCCUUUGUGGGGUGCUCGAGUGGCGAACGGGUGAGUAACACGUGAGUAACCUGCCCUUGACUUUGGGAUAACUUCAGGAAACUGGGGCUAAUACCGGAUCGGAGCUCCUGCUGCACGGUGGGGGUUGGAAAGUUUCGGCGGUUGGGGAUGGACUCGCGGCUUAUCAGCUUGUUGGUGGGGUAGUGGCUUACCAAGGCUUUGACGGGUAGCCGGCCUGAGAGGGUGACCGGCCACACUGGGACUGAGAUACGGCCCAGACUCCUACGGGAGGCAGCAGUGGGGAAUAUUGCACAAUGGGCGGAAGCCUGAUGCAGCAACGCCGCGUGCGGGAUGACGGCCUUCGGGUUGUAAACCGCUUUCGCCUGUGACGAAGCGUAAGUGACGGUAAUGGGUAAAGAAGCACCGGCUAACUACGUG
rnacentral:rRNA from 1 species